UACGUAGGGACCGAGCGUUGUCCGGAUUCAUUGGGCGUAAAGAGCUCGUAGGCGGCUGUUCAAGUCGAACGUGAAAACUCGGAGCUCAACUCCGAGCCUGCGUUCGAUACUGGACGGCUAGAGUCUGGUAGGGGGAUCUGGAAUUCCUGGUGUAGCGGUGGAAUGCGCAGAUAUCAGGAGGAACACCGGUGGCGAAGGCGGCCAACUGGACGAAUACUGACGCUGAGACACGAAAGCGUGGGGAGCAAACAGG
rnacentral:rRNA from 1 species